GCCUAUAGCUCAGUGGUUAGAGCUGCGGACUCAUAACCCGUCGGUCGGUGGUUCAAAUCCACCUGGGCC
rnacentral:tRNA from 1 species